rnacentral:ncRNA from 1 species
UUCGGCACUGCGACGCUUCUUUCGUCGCCCCCUGCAUGCCGUCGCCGACGCACUCCUGCCCGACUGAGUACAGCGAACCUGUUCGCUGCCUGCUGCGCGGC